UGGGGAAUCUUGGACAAUGGGCGCAAGCCUGAUCCAGCCAUGCCGCGUGGAUGAUGAAGGCCUUAGGGUUGUAAAAUCCUUUCGCCGAGGACGAUAAUGACGGUACUCGGAGAAGAAGCUCCGGCUAACUUCGUGCCAGCAGCCGCGGUAAUACGAAGGGGCUAGCGUUGUUCGGAUUUACUGGGCGUAAAGCGCAUGUAGGCGGGCCGUUAAGUUAGGGGUGAAAUCCCGAGGCUCAACCUCGGAACUGCCUCUAAAACUGGCGGCCUGGACCUAAGUAGAGGCAAGUGGAAUUGCGAGUGUAGAGGUGAAAUUCGUAGAUAUUCGCAGGAACACCAAUGGCGAAGGCGACUUGCUGGACUUAUGGUGACGCUGAGAUGCGAAAGCGUGGGGAGCAAACAGGAUUAGAUACCCCCGUAGUCCCUGAGCGGGCUGGCAAGGCGCAU
rnacentral:rRNA from 1 species